rfam:Capsicum annuum cultivar Zunla-1 chromosome 4, whole genome shotgun sequence
ACCUCAUGGUUGGGACACUGCUUGAGUUAUCCAUUGAAUCUUUCCCACACCUUAUAUAAGGGUUCACCAUUCAAUUACAAAAAUUUAAUGAUUUUAUCAUGCUAUU